rnacentral:rRNA from 1 species
UGAGUAUGUUAAAUAAGAUACCCUAUAGUCUUCUUAGCUAGGAGAUAUAAAGUAAAGGAAAAUUUCUGCUAUAGGAUUCUAUUUAAUUUGAUUAGGUAGUUGAUAGGGUAACGGCCUACCAAGCCAACGAUCAAAAGUCAAGUUUGAAAGAACCUCUGGCCACAUUGGGGAUGAAAUCUCCCAAGUAGUAAUAACACUACCAGCAGUCGAGAAUAUUAGUCAAUGCUCGUAAGAGUGAACUAGCUAACUGAAAUCAUAGAAUUUUUUCAAAUUCAUGAUGUCGUAAGGGAAAAUAAUGAUAAUACCUUACUAUGAGUGUCGUCCAAAUCUGGUGCCAGAAGACUCGGUAAGACCAGAGACGCAAACGUUAAUCAUCAUAAACAGGCGUAAAGGGUUUGUAGGCAGCUUUUAUAAAAUAUUUCAAAAACUAAAUUAAAAGCUAGAAUCAAAAAGAGGUUAUAGUGUAUAACGCCUAGAGGAGGGCUGAUAUCCAUAGAUCCUAGGCAGAAUACUCAGGGCGAAGGCCACUCUCCACUAAUGAUUGACGCUGAGAAACGAAGGUUAGGGUAGGAAAUAGGAUUUAGAUACCCCGGUACUCCUUUUCUGUAAACGAAUGAAUGGUAGUCAAUUAGUUAAAUUAAAAAUAACUAGAGGCGAAGUUAACACA